UACGUAGGGGGCAAGCGUUGUCCGGAUUUAUUGGGCGUAAAGAGCGUGUAGGCGGCCGUACAGGUCAGCUGUGAAAACUCGAGGCUCAACCUCGAGACGUCGGUUGAAACCGUACGGCUAGAGUCCGGAAGAGGAGAGUGGAAUUCCCGGUGUAGCGGUGAAAUGCGCAGAUAUCUGGAGGAACACCGGUGGCGAAGGCGGCAUCCUGGACCAAUACUGACGCUCAUGUGCGAAAGCGUGGGGAGCAAACAGG
rnacentral:rRNA from 1 species